GUGAGAGUCGUAAAUGGCUCUCCACCGACAGGGGAUUAUUCCUUCGCUAAGUAUAACAAGUCUGUUGAUGUUAUCAGAAACAGACAUGAGGAGUAUGAAAAACAUUUAACUGACCCUGCAUGUAUCAACAUGAGGAGAUUGAACGCAAGCGUGCUUUCUCAAUGGUCCUCUCUCAAACAAAACACCAAGAGCGGAAAGAUGCUGAGGCUUGCUGGAUCAUCUCGAGUUCUUCACCGGUCUAUUGUUUUAUUCUGCUGGUUCUUGCUGAAGCAAAAAAGAAUAGGUGAGUCACGUAUGGCUGCAUGGGCAUGUAUCAUCUGAACAAGCUGCUAUUGUGGCAGUUGCAAUUGUCAUUGCUGGAUUCUAAAUAUUAUGUCUCUUAAUGUCACUUCAAUUUUUAA